UGUAAUUUAAGAAUCGUUAGAAGAAUAUUUCUCGAAUAUAGAAAGAUUUAUAUUUGAGCAUGAAGAAUAUCGGGCAGACUUUAAGACAGACGGCUUUUAACGCCUUGACCUCUUUAUGAAUAUCCAAGAGUUUUUGAGAAAUAUGUUAUACCCUUUAUGUAGCCUUAAGUUGAGUUUAGAAUAUUAUAGCCUCCAAAAACUUAAUAGAAUUGAACUCGUCUUGUAAAAUCCUAAAAAAAUUCAAAGUAUAAAUAAUAAAAUAAAACGCUAUAUUACAAAGGUCUAUAAAUUAGGGCCUCCUAAAAGCAAUGACAUGUUCACAUACUACACUAUGAAGGGUUUCAUUUCUAGCAUGGUGUUGUUGAAGAUUGGCUUCAUAUUCACUAUUUUUCUCAUGGCACCCAAUGUCAGCGCGAGAUGGAAUAUAGAUUCUGAAAUCUCAAAAUUCGGAAGGAGAUUACUACCACAAGUUAUAAAUGAUGGGCCACUCCAUCCUAUGGUUAUGAAUUCGAGUGCCAGUGAAACAAAAGAGCCUAUAAUUCCAGGGAGGGGUUAAAAUAAGUCAUUUGGUUGAACUUGAUUAAACAACAAUAUGUGCACUAGACAACAAAUGAGUAUUUAUCUUGUAUGUAUUUUAUUUUAUUUGUCUUUAGUGCUUUUUUUAGUAAGAAUAAUAAUGAACAAAGAAUAAUAAUGAACAAAUUCAAAUGAAUAAAAUUUUUACUGUGUUUCUUUUUUUUGAAUGAAAAGGAAUAACAAGUGUGACUAAAUAUGCUUUAAUCCUAAAUUAAGUUGGGCUCGA